rnacentral:tRNA from 1 species
AGGAAUUGUGCCUGAGGCUGCCCCAAGGACCACUUUGAUAGAGUGACCAACGGGGGUUAAAAUCCCCCCGAUUCC